rnacentral:precursor_RNA from 16 species
GAACUUAGUCAGACAGCACGCAUGCUCAAUAAAGACUUCAGGGGACAGUCGGUGUCUAGCAGUUUCCUACUGGCCCCUUAAGUCCCGGUUGACGUUCGUGAAUCGGUCAAGCGUACCUC